rnacentral:lncRNA from 1 species
UAACAGAUUUUUGGUAAAUGAUAGGAAUCGGGGAUUCUCACAUUUACAAUAAGGAUUUGGGAUUGUGAAAUGAGUAUCAUUGGAAUCAUGUUCAAUUGAUCUACAUCACAAUGUAAGGAUCAUAGACAAACAUAGUGUGCAUACUUGGGGUAUGGCAUAACUAUUGUUUAGAAAAACAAAGUGUACAUGCUAGGAGCAUGGGACGACUGUUGUUUUUAUUCAAGUCUUAAGUUGAUUAUUUGAAACAUUAUACAAUGAAUAAUGUGUAAUCAAUAUGGUGAUAAAUAAAAGGUGGUUCUAUUUAUAUUCAAAAGGGUUCUGAGACCAUAUUGGAUUCGAUUAUUAUUGUGUUUCACUUUGCAUGUUUUGACUUCCAAAAUAGCUAGGUUAUUCUUUUCGAAUGACUAAGUUAUUUAAACACUCCACAGUCGUUCAUAUGUUGGAAGUAGGUAUGAAUCAAGACUGUCAUGAAUCGAGUUUGUAGAUGGCUAAAUGGGUUUAGUCAUAGCAAUGGUUGCUACAACAUUUGUAACAACCCGAAAUUGUCCGUCGCCAAAACCCGUUUUACCCGAAAGGUCGUCAUUAUCGGAUUCAUUCCGUUUUCUCUUUAGAAUUAAUUGAUAAACUUAUAUGUUUAUUUCAUCCUAAUGAGUAUCUAAAUCACUCAGGAACUUAUGUUAGUUGCCCAAAAACAAUUAUUUCAUAAGUUUUAAAAAUGUUCCUGUCGGGUGACGGAAACUCAAUCGGGUGCGACCAAAAGCCGCGUUUAGCGUCGGUAUCGGGUAGAAUUCCACCGCGUGCAAAUUUUAGGGACUAUAUAAACGUGUUUCAGCUUUCAUUUGAAGCUUUUUCCUUCUCUCACUACUCUCUCUCUAACCUCUCUCCAAAAUCCAAAGAUUAAGUGUCCAAAACUCAAAAUUUAAGCUUCAAAUCCUUAAGGUACCUCCCUAGCCUUAAACUAUAGCAUCUUUAGCUUCCAAAUUCGAGAUUUAAACAUGAAAUUGGACAAUGUAUGUGAGUUUACGGCCUAAGAAGAUGCCUAGGCCGUAAACACCAAAUAUGAUGGGUUUUGAGCCUUUAAACCCUUCCUUGACUAGUUUGGACCUUGGAUAUAGAUAUGGGACUUUAAAGUAUGGAAUCUAAACAUGUAAAACUUGAAUUAUGUGAUGUUUGAAGGAGUUUACGGCCAAGGAUCAUUCUUGGGCCGUAAACUCAUAUAAUGAGGGUUUUCAUGCCCUUAAACCCUUCCAAAUCACUCCUAUGGCUUAGAUAUGAAUUAUAGGACCUUCAUUCUAGCAUUUGGACACUUGAAACAUUAAUUUUGGGGGACUUAGAUGAGUUUAUGGCCAAGGGGAGUUCUUGGGCCGUAAACUCCCCAAAACUUGGCAUAAAUUCCAUUUUAAAUCAAGGGACCAACCAAAAGCCUUGGAAUAAAUCAAGGGACCAACCAAAAAUACUUUGAGGGCCUAAAACACAUCAUUUGUGAGGUUUCUAAGGGUUUACGGCCAAGACUUGUUCUUGGGCCGUAAACUCCAAAAUUUUUGGUGUUAAGAUGCAAACUACACACCCCUAAGGCCCUUAGAUGAAUUUUAGAAGUCCUUUCAUGCAAGUUCUAGACCUUGAAACACCUUGGAACACCACACACUAGAGUUUACGGCCAUGAAAGGGGUUUCAUGGGCCGUAAACUCCACAAAUCCCUCAUAUGUCCCUUGCAAACUCAUAUUAGGCCUUGGAUUAAUUCUACCAAUCACAUGUGAUUUGUUCUAACACCAUUUAACAUCAUUUUCUUGGGUAAAUAAGGGUUUACGUCCUUGGAGCCAUGCUAGGCCAUAAACUCCCUUAAAGGGGGGUCAAAUUGAUGUUUUGAAUCAUUCCAAGUCCUUAAACCAAGUCUAGAAGUUAUCCCCUAAGUGUUGGAAGUCCAAAUGGCACCAUAAAGCACCCAUCAUGAGUUUACGGCCGUAAACUCAUGGGGAAGGGUGUUUUGGCCGUAAACUCCCUUAAGGGGAGUGUUCCUUUGAUGUCCCAACUCAUUUCCCAAGUCCCUUGUGUCAUUCAUGUCCCUAAACGCCACCCGGGUCCCACCAAACACUUGUAUCGGAGUGUUAUCGUGACCUGAAGCAUUGGUCCGUAUCCGACAAUCAAUCUAAGUCCUAAUUGGAUACAAAUGUGUAUAUUUACAUCAUAAUUAGGAACCUUGUGCGUUUACAAGUCCCGGCUCAGCUCUUAGCAUCUAAACCGUCUCAUAUCUCGUCCGGUGAGUUCAUACCCCUACGGCUUUUUCACUGUUUUCAAUGUUUUCAGGGGGGGAAUACAAGCAAGCUAUAACUGUUUUCCAAUCACAACAUUGAUGUGUUUCAAACAAUCUUUGACAAACCUAUAAACUCUUUUUCUCCUUAUGUAUUAUGCUGAGUAUAAUGAAUGACUACUCGAUUUCAACUAAAUGGAUUUUAGUUAAGGAAACAAUCAAACUAAUCAAAUUAUUAUGGGAAUAAUUUGGGGGUCUUUACUGCUCUUUCUGUCGUAUACUGAUAUCUAUACCAAGUUAUUAGAUAAACUAUGUCUGUUUCAGUUUAUCUUUGUAUCAUUUGAAUGUAUUAUCCGAUAAUUACAUGUAUGUAUCUAUACUUUACGGUAUUAUGUUUCAUAAUCUUCUGUAUGUCGAUAUCUUACGAGAACCCUGUGAAUACUUUAGUACUAGCUUGUGAGAUAGUCACUACCCUUUAUGGAUGAUCAGUAAAUCCUCCCCGGAAGUGUAACCAGAGUCUCCUGGAGGGAGAGCGCGGAAUUUGUGAAUAGAUCUAUUCGGGACUGAAUAUCCCACACCUUAACUGUUAGCUACAGUUAGGCGGGCACGCCUAGGGUGACAAAUUUCUGGAUAUCGUUCGACGUCUGACAAAUGUCAAGGAGGUCACGUUGUCGUAUUAGUAUGGUUACCCGACUCACAAUAUGUAUUAAUAUCAGCUUAUUCACAGUUUGGGUUCAGAAACAACGUCUCGUUCGGGAUAGUGAUCCCAUGGUUUUAUAUCUAUAUUUUAUAUCUCUUUCGGGAUUGUGAUCCCAUGGUGUUGUUUCUAGAUCUCUUUCGGGAUAGUGAUCCCAUGGUAUUAUCAAACUACUUUAUAUCCAUGUCCUAUACGGGAUAGUGAUCCCAUGGUUUACUUCUAUAUCUCUUUCGGGAUAGUGAUCCCAUGGUAUUAAUCAAACUAUUUUGAAUCUAGUUCGGGAUAGUGAUCCCAUGGUUGGUAUUUACAACUUGUAUGGGAUGUCUUUCCCCAUGGUCUUAAACUAUAUCUUAUACGGGAUAAUGAUCCCAUGGUUUGUAACUAUAACUUAUAUGGGAUAGUGAUCCCAUGGUUUUCUAAAUUCAUAUUUUAUACAGGAUAAUGAUCCUAAGGUUUCGUGUCUUAACUAUAUCUUAUACGGGAUAGUGAUCCCAUGGUUUUCUAAAACUAUAACUUAUACGGGAUAGUGAUCCCAUGGCUUUCUAAAACUAUAUCUUAUACGGGAUAGUGAUCCCAUGGUUCCUAAUCUGUAACUUAUUCGGGAUAGUGAUCCCAUGGUUUCAAUCUAUAUUUACAUAUAUACAUUAACUUAUCUCGUGUUAGUCCGGGAUGAUAGUCCCAUGAUCUUGAAUCUGUACUUUCAAAUGUGUCAAACUAACUUAUAUGUCUUUCGGGAUAGUGAUCCCAAGAUUUUCAUUAUAUAGUUUUGUGUGUUAAACUAUACUUGUGUUAUACAACCGAUCUUACAAUUAGGAAAAUAUGGGAUUUUCCUGGGGUAAAUUACAAUACAUAACCGAAUUGGUAACAAAUGAUAACUUAACCAACUUUACAUAAGAAAAUAUGGGAUUUUCUUGGAUAACAAAUCUUUUCGGAAACUAAAGGAAACCGAUACAUUUUCAUAAAACAAAACCGCUUAUGAACUCACCAGCUUUAUGCUGAUUUUCAAACCGCUUGUAUUCUCAGGUCCAAGUUAGACAGGUACUCGGUGAUCUCUUUUGGCAAAGACGGAGUGCGUAGAAGACUCGUCUCAACUUUUGUUAAUUUGAUGCAUAUGUAUAUCUUGUAUAACUUUACUUUUGAAACAAAUGUAAACUUUCAUAUAUAUGUAAGGUCAUGUUUGUUUACUGUGAUUACUAUGUACAUUGGAUUUGAUACACAACAUGGUAGUCAACCCCGGAGACGUUUCCGCCUUUGGUUUUCGGGGUGUGACAACAUUCAUGAGUGCUCAUAAGUUAUGAGUAUUGGAUUAAACCCACGCUCACUUGUAUCACUUCAUGGAAUUUCUCUCGAGUGAUCGUGAGAUGGUAAUAUCAUAUAAAUCUUCAAACCUAGAGAUAUGAGUUGUUACCUAUGAGUUGGUUGUGCAUUGAUUGCACGUAAACGCAUCAGUAACUUGAUGUUAUAAAACGUGCCUUUGUGUACAAUUCAACAAGUAGUAGAAC